UACGAAGGUGGCAAGCGUUGUUCGGAUUUACUGGGCGUACAGGGAGCGUAGGCGGUUGGGUAAGCCCUCCGUGAAAUCUCCGGGCCUAACCCGGAAAGUGCGGAGGGGACUGCUCGGCUAGAGGAUGGGAGAGGAGCGCGGAAUUCCCGGUGUAGCGGUGAAAUGCGUAGAGAUCAGGAGGAACACCGGUGGCGAAGGCGGCUUUCUGGACAGACACCGACGCUGAGGCGCGAAAGCUAGGGGAGCAAACAGG
rnacentral:rRNA from 1 species